UGUGCUGUUUCGAGCGAGGUGAUCACUGCUUGGUGCUGCCACCUGAUGACACUUGCCGCCUUGUGCUUCCCCACUGCGUGUGCUGUUUCGUGCGAGGUGAUGACUGCUUGUUGCUGCCACCUGAUGACACUUGCCGCCUUGUGCUUCCCCACUGCGUGUGCUGUUUCGUGCGAGGUGAUGACUGCUUGUUGCUGCCACCUGAUGACACUUGCCGCCUUGUGCUUCCGCACUGCGUGUGCUGUUUCGUGCGAGGUGAUGACUGCUUGGUGCUGCCACCUGAUGACACUUGCCGCCUUGUGCUUCCCCACUGCGUGUGCUGUUUCGUGCGAGGUGAUGACUGCUUGGUGCUGCCACCUGAUGACACUUGCCGCCUUGUGCUUCCCCAC